AGCGAACGCUGGCGGCAGGCCUAACACAUGCAAGUCGAACGGACCCUUCGGGGUUAGUGGCGGACGGGUGAGUAACACGUGGGAACGUGCCUUUAGGUUCGGAAUAGCUCCUGGAAACGGGUGGUAAUGCCGAAUGUGCCCUUCGGGGGAAAGAUUUAUUGCCUUUAGAGCGGCCCGCGUCUGAUUAGCUAGUUGGUGAGGUAAUGGCUCACCAAGGCUACGAUCAGUAGCUGGUCUGAGAGGAUGACCAGCCACAUUGGGACUGAGACACGGCCCAAAGUCCUACGGGAGGCAGCAGUGGGGAAUCUUGCGCAAUGGGCGAAAGCCUGACGCAGCCAUGCCGCGUGGAUGAUGAAGGUCUUAGGAUUGUAAAAUCCUUUCACCGGUGAAGAUAAUGACUGUAGCCGGAGAAGAAGCCCCAGCUAACUGCGUGCCAGCCGCCGCCGUAAUAC
rnacentral:rRNA from 1 species